rnacentral:rRNA from 1 species
UACAGAGGUCUCAAGCGUUGUCCGGAAUCAUUGGGCGUAAAGCGAGCGUAGGCGGCCCGAUAAGUCUGCUGUAAAAGUCAACGGCUCAACCGUUGAAAGCCGGUGGAUACUGUCGGGCUAGAGUUCGGAAGAGGCAAGUGGAAUUCCUGGUGUAGCGGUGGAAUGCGCAGAUAUCAGGAGGAACACCUAUAGCGAAGGCAGCUUGCUGGGACGAUACUGACGCUAAGGCUCGAAAGCGUGGGGAGCGAACAGG